AGACGUCUACGAGUUUAUCAUGGCUCAGGAUGAACGCUGGCGGCGUGCCUAAUACAUGCAAGUCGAACGAGGUGCUUUUGUAGCAAUACGAAAGUAUCCUAGUGGCGAACGGGUGAGUAACGCGUUGGUGACCUACCCCAAAGUGUGGGAUAACAGUUCGAAAGAACUGCUAAUACCGCAUGUGGUUAUCGGAUUUAGAAACUGAUAACUAAAGGAGCAAUUCGCUUUGGGAGGGACCUGCGUCCCAUCAGCUAGUUGGUGAGGUAAUGGCUCACCAAGGCUACGACGGGUAGGGGACCUGAGAGGGUGACCCCCCACAAUGGAACUGAAACACGGUCCAUACACCUACGGGUGGCAGCAGUAGGGAAUAUUGCACAAUGGGCGAAAGCCUGAUGCAGCAACGCCGCGUGUGCGAUGAAGGCCCUCGGGUCGUAAAGCACUUUUCUGAGAGAUGAGCAAGGACAGUAUCUCAGGAAUAAGUCUCGGCUAACUACGUG
rnacentral:rRNA from 1 species